rnacentral:rRNA from 2 species
GGGAUUAGAUACCCCACUAUGCUUAGCCUUAAACCUAGAUGUUGAAUUUACAAGCAACAUCCGCCAGGGUACUACAAGCGCUAGCUUAAAACCCAAAGGACUUGACGGUGUCUCAGACCCACCUAGAGGAGCCUGUUCUAGAACCGAUAAUCCCCGUUAAACCUCACCACCCCUUGUUUUCUCCGCCUAUAUACCGCCGUCGCAAGCUUACCCUGUGAAGGUCUAAUAGUAAGCAAAAUGGGUAAAUCCCAAAACGUCAGGUCGAGGUGUAGCUUACGAGGUGGGAAGAAAUGGGCUACAUUUUCUAUAUCAGAAUAAUACGAACAGCACCAUGAAAUUAGUGCUUGAAGGUGGAUUUAGUAGUAAAAAACAAAUAGAGAGUCUUUUUGAACCAGGCUCUGAGACGCGCACACACCGCCC